ACGCCUUAUACAUGCAAGUCGAACGCAGUAGCAAUACUGAGUGGCAAACGGGUGAGUAUAAUGUGGGUAUCUGCCUUUUGGUUUGGAAUAACAUGAGGAAACUUGUGCUAAUACCGGAUAAGCCUUCACAGGGAAAGUUUUAUACGCCGAAAGAUGAGCCCGCACUUGAUUAGUUUGUUGGUGAGGUAAUGGCUCACCAAGACAAUUAUCAAUAGCUGGUCUGAGAGGACGAUCAGCCACAUUGGGACUGAGACACGGCCCAGACUCCUACGGGAGGCAGCAGUAAGGAAUCUUGCACAAUGGGGGAAACCCUGAUGCAGCGAUGCCGCGUGAGUGAAGAAGGCCCUUGGGUUGUAAAACUCUUUCGUCGGGGAAGAAAAUGACUGUACCCGAAUAAGAAGGUCCGGCUAACUUCGUGCCAGCAGCCGCGGUAAUACGAAGGGACCUAGCGUAGUUCGGAAUUACUGGGCUUAAAGAGCUCGUAGGUGGUUAAAAAAGUUGAUGGUGAAAUCCCAAGGCUCAACCUUGGAACUGCCAUCAAAACUUUUUAGCUAGAGUGUGAUAGAGGAAAGUGGAAUUUCUAGUGUAGAGGUGAAAUUCGUAGAUAUUAGAAAGAACACCAAAUGCGAAGGCAACUUUCUGGGUCACUACUGACACUGAGGAGCGAAAGCAUGGGUAGCGAAGAGGAUUAGAUACCCUCGUAGUCCAUGCCGUAAACGAUGUGUGCUAGACGUUGGAAAUAUAUUUUUCAGUGUCGCAGCGAAAGCAUUAAGCACACCGCCUGGGGAG
rnacentral:rRNA from 1 species